rnacentral:rRNA from 1 species
AGACCCGAAACCCGGUGAUCUAGCCAUGGGCAGGUUGAAGGUUGGGUAACACUAACUGGAGGACCGAACCGACUAAUGUUGAAAAAUUAGCGGAUGACCUGUGGCUGGGGGUGAAAGGCCAAUCAAACCGGGAGAUAGCUGGUUCUCCCCGAAAGCUAUUUAGGUAGCGCCUCGUGAAUUCAUCUCCGGGGGUAGAGCACUGUUUCGGCUAGGGGGCCAUCCCGGCUUACCAACCCGAUGCAAACUGCGAAUACCGGAGAAUGUUAUCACGGGAGACACACGGCGGGUGCUAACGUCCGUCGUGAAGAGGGAAACAACCCAGACCGCCAGCUAAGGUCCCAAAGUCAUGGUUAAGUGGGAAACGAUGUGGGAAGGCCCAGACAGCCAGGAUGUUGGCUUAGAAGCAGCCAUCAUUUAAAGAAAGCGUAAUAGCUCACUGGUCGAGUCGGCCUGCGCGGAAGAUGUAACGGGGCUAAACCAUGCACCGAAGCUGCGGCAGCGAACGUAUCACCCAAGACAACUUUACGGAGUUGACGAUUGACGGAGCGAAGCGACGUCAAAGCGUUCAUUAAAGUCGAGUUGGCUUAGGGAUACGUUCGUUGGGUAGGGGAGCGUUCUGUAAGCCUGUGAAGGUGUGUCGUGAGGCAUGCUGGAGGUAUCAGAAGUGCGAAUGCUGACAUAAGUAACGAUAAAGCGGGUGAAAAGCCCGCUCGCCGGAAGACCAAGGGUUCCUGUCCAACGUUAAUCGGGGCAGGGUGAGUCGACCCCUAAGGCGAGGCCGAAAGGCGUAGUCGAUGGGAAACGGGUUAAUAUUCCCGUACUUGGUGUUACUGCGAAGGGGGGACGGAGAAGGCUAUGUUGGCCGGGCGACGGUUGUCCCGGUUUAAGCGUGU